UACGGAGGGUGCAAGCGUUAUCCGGAUUCACUGGGUUUAAAGGGUGCGUAGGAGGACAGGUAAGUCAGUGGUGAAAUCUUCGAGCUUAACUCGGAACUGCCGUUGAUACUAUCUGUCUUGAAUAUUGUGGAGGUGAGCGGAACAUGUCAUGUAGCGGUGAAAUGCUUAGAUAUGACAUAGAACACCAAUUGCGAAGGCAGCUCGCUACACAUAUAUUGACUCUGAGGCACGAAAGCGUGGGGAUCAAACAGG
rnacentral:rRNA from 1 species